AGCGAACGCUGGCGGCAGGCCUAAUACAUGCAAGUCGAGCGGCCCUUCGGGGCAGCGGCGGACGGGUGAGUAACGCGUGGGAACGUGCCCUUUGGUACGGGAUAACUGAGGGAAACUUCAGCUAAUACCGUAUGUGCCCUACGGGGGAAAGAUUUAUCGCCAUUGGAGCGGCCCGCGUUGGAUUAGCUAGUUGGUGGGGUAAAGGCUCACCAAGGCUACGAUCCAUAGCUGGUCUGAGAGGAUGAUCAGCCACACUGGGACUGAGACACGGCCCAGACUCCUACGGGAGGCAGCAGUAGGGAAUCUUGCGCAAUGGGCGAAAGCCUGACGCAGCCAUGCCGCGUGAAUGAUGAAGGUCUUAGGAUUGUAAAAUUCUUUCACCGGGGAAGAUAAUGACGGUACCCGGAGAAGAAGCCCCGGCUAACUUCGUGCCAGCAGCCGCGGUAAUACGAAGGGGGCUAGCGUUGCUCGGAAUUACUGGGCGUAAAGGGCGCGUAGGCGGAUGUUUAAGUCGGGGGUGAAAGCCCGGGGCUCAACCUCGGAAUUGCCUUCGAUACUGGACAUCUUGAGUACGGGAGAGGUGAGUGGAACUCCGAGUGUAGAGGUGAAAUUCGUAGAUAUUCGGAAGAACACCAGUGGCGAAGGCGACUCACUUGGCCCGUUACUGACGCUGAGGCGCGAAAG
rnacentral:rRNA from 1 species